rnacentral:rRNA from 1 species
GAUGAACGCUGGCGGCGUGCCUAAUACAUGCAAGUCGAGCGAACAGAUGAGUAUCUUGCUCCUCUGACGUUAGCGGCGGACGGGUGACUAACACGUGGAUAACCUACCUAUAUGACUUGGCUAACUUCGGGAAACCGUAGCUAAUACCGGAUAAUAUAUUUAACCGCAUGGUUCAAUAGUGAAUGACGGUUUUGCUGUCACUUAUCGAUUGAUCCGCGCCUCAUUAGCUAGUUGGUUAGGUAACGGCUUACCAAGGCAACGAUGCGUAGCCGACCUGAGCGGGGGAUCGGCCACACUGGAACUGAGACACGGUCCAGACACCUACGGGAGGCAGCAGUAGGGAAUCUUCCGCAAUGGGCGAAAGCCUGACGGAGCAACGCCGCGUGAGUGAUGAAGGUCUUCGGAUCGGAAAACUCUGUUAUUAGGGAAGAACAAAUGUGUAAGUAACGAUGCACGGCGUGACGGUACCGAAUCAGAAAGCCACGGCUAACUACGUG